rnacentral:RNase_P_RNA from 1 species
AGAGCCAGCAAGGCAAUCGCUUGGAAACACCCAAGAGGAAAGUCCGGGCAACAUAGAGCAAGGUAGUCGCUAACGGCGACCGUCCGUAAGGAUAGGGAAAGUACCACAGAAACAAUACUGCCCUUCACGGGGCGAUGGUGAAAAGAGUGGGGUAAGAGCCCACAGCAUCUCGUAGUGAUACGGGGUGGCGGCAAACCCUACCUGUUGCAAGGAGUGCUAUCAGCUUCUGCUCGAAGACGCACGCUCACCGCUUGAAUACUAUAGCAAUAUAGUAUCUAGAUAGAUGAUUGCCGACCCUUCACAGGGUUACAGAACCCGGCUUAAAAAUGGCUCAUUAU